rnacentral:misc_RNA from 1 species
AAAAAUCUGAUUCCCACGGACACAUAGCGGAUGCCUUUGGAGCAUCAAUGGCAGAGCCUUGGUUGGCUGCCCAUGGAGAUCCGUCGAGGUGUGUUCUCCUUGGAGUGAGUUGUGGGGGAAACAUAGCUGAUUAUGUGGCCCGAAAGGCAGUAGAAGCAGGCAAUCUUUUGGACCCAGUCAAGGUGGUGGCACAGGUCUUGAUGUAUCCAUUUUUCAUUGGCAAUGUUCCAACUCAUUCUGAGAUAAAGCUAGCUAAUUCCUAUUUCUAUGACAAGGCAAUGUGCGUACUUGCCUGGAAAUUACUUUUACCUGAAGGAGAGUUUAACUUGGAUCACCCUGCUGCCAACCCACUUGUUGCUGGUAGAGGAGGACCUCCGUUAAAACGAAUGCCCCCAACAUUGACAAUUAU